UUCUAGAGUACAAAGUAAUAAGUCUCACAACUAUUACUUCAAUAUAUAAACUCAAUUGAUUCUUGUUUAGAUUUCAAAGAUUGAUGAUAAAGCUAAUUGUUUAUGGGGAAUUAGCUCAGCUGGGAGAGCGCCUGCUUUGCACGCAGGAGGUCAGCGGUUCGAUCCCGCUAUUCUCCACCAUUUAUUAAGGGCCUAUAGCUCAGCUGGUUAGAGUGCACCCCUGAUAAGGGUGAGGUCACAAGUUCAAGUCUUGUUAGGCCCACCAUAAAAAAGAUUUGAAUAAAGAAGCUUUAAAAUCUAAAGCAAGUAUAUAAAAUAGAUUAAAUAUAAAAUAUAAACUCUAUACUUAGAUUUAUUUUUUAUCUUUAACUAUAAAAGAAUAUACUUUAAUAGAUAUAAGUAGCAUAUACAUUUAUAUUUAUAAUGAUUAUGUUAAUAUAUAUACUUCCUUUAGGUUUUAAACCUAAAUGUUCUUUUUAAUUAUCAUUGUUAAGAGUCACAAGCAAGUUUUAAUAAAAACAAUUUUACAGGACUUGUUAAAGGAUAAAACCUAUUUAUCUUUUCUUUAGUUUAACUUAACUUUUAGCUGUCUUUAUUUCUAUAAAUAAAGAGAAUAUUAGAUUUAAGGAUUAUAAAUUAAAGACAAGUUUCAAACUCACAGCUUAGUUGAGACUAAAUCAUUUAGUUUUAUAUUAAGUGUUUGAAUGCUUUCCGUCUUAAGAUAAAGAAGUCUUAUCAUAAAAACUUUAACAAGGAAGUGAUGCGUUUUAGAAUCAAUAAUAAAAGGUAAAAAAAGGUA
rnacentral:tRNA from 1 species